CUCCACCUCCGACGCCCCCCGCCCCAACCCACCCCAUGGCCUCCACCGCCGACCCCCGUCCGCCGUGGCCUCCUCCUCUCACUACCACUCCGUGGACCUUCCACGUCAUCUCCCGUCUCCGCCGCCCACCGACUUGGCCUCGGUCGUCUCCAGCGCCGCCGCCGCCGCUUCCUGUAUGAGGAGUUCGUCGUCCUCCCUCAGGUCCGCCGCUUCCUCCAGGAGCAGCGGCCCUCCACUUCGUUCGCCCGCCCAUCCCCUGCCUGGGCCCGCCACCACCUCCCAAUCUCCCCCUGCGCAGAUCUGGGCCUGCAGAGGAACAACGACAUGGGGAUCUGCUUCUUGGUGGAUAAACUGCAAAGCCUGCGCGGGCAGAUGGCCGUUACGGUGGCUGGCCCCUUAUUGCCUGUGCUUGCCGUUGCUUUUCUUGUCUAAUUGCUGUUGUGCAGUGUGAUGUUGCUUGUGCUUGGGUGCUGCUUCUAGCUACAGGCUACUGCUGGCGCGAGCUGCUGCUGCUUUUGUUGCCUCUGCUAGUGUUUGCCGUGAUUCCUGCUCCUGAUAGCUGCCAGUGCUUGUCAAGAUUUGUUAUAGGAUGUCAACUUGUGAUUGUGAUUGUUGUUUAUUUCUGGCUGCUCUUUGUCUGCGCUCCAUGAAAAUUGUUCCUAGCUGCUCCCCCACCCUUGCAUGUUUCCUCCCAGACAUGAUUUGUAUAGUUGUAAGUUGAUGCAGAUUAAGAGCCAAUAUAUUGGAUUUGGUGACAUAAAAGGUGACUGAGAUUUUGGUAUCUCAAGGAAUACAACGACAGCUAGUACAUGACAUAUCAGCUGAACAUCGAGAAAUGGCACUUCCUUUUCUAAUUAGUUGCACAAAUUCAGGAAUGCAAGGACAAUGCUGCUAAUGUGCAAUUGCAACUGCUCUCAGUUUUGGCAUCUCUAGGUAUUUUCGGGUAGCGGCAGUCUUUGUUCUUGUUCUUGCGUAUCCUUAAGUAUUGCUUGCUCUUUGAAUAUUGCUAAUAGAUAUCUAUUCUGGACGUACGAAGUUGCACUGAACUUGUUCAUUAUUUUGCAGUGCAUGUGUUACUUUUAUUGCGACCAUAUAUCACACAACAUUGUAGAUGAGUAAACAAGACAGCUGAAAAGUAAAUUGCAUAACCUGAUAACCCUAAUUGCAUUAUAUACUGCUUUGCAAUUUUAUUUGAAUAUUGUGCAAAGCAUAUUUUCUUGUCUCAAAUUCAUCAUGUCAUUUUUCGUAGGCCCUAUAGCUGGUUUCUGUUGGGCUUGGGAUAUCUACCUUGAUUAUAUUUAUUUAGCCUGUUAUAAAUUGUUCAAUCUGUAUCUGGUAUUCUUAAGGUAGUAUAUCUGGUUUUUGUUGGGGUACCUAACUUUCUUUGUUUUUCUGUAAUAUGACGUUCUUCCUCUGAUGCAAGCUUAAACAUGGCGGUGCUACCGUGGUGCCAUGUCUGCCUUGUUCUCUAGGGUACUAAGGGCCCCUUUUUGAGUUUUUCCCUCCAUGUGCCAUCAGCCUGCUUGCUGCCAUAGUGAUAAUUCGAUAUCUCAAGGAAUGACAACUAGUAGAUGAUAUAUCACCUGAACAUCUACUACUACUAUCGGCAUGCCUGGCUCACUGGUGAUUAGGAGCCAUGCUUGCUGCCUCCGCACGCCGGAUUGCUGCUGAUCCCAUCACUGGGCAAGGCCUCAUCUGCUUCCUGUCGCUGACAACCCGUACCUGCAGUCGUUCACGCAAGGCACCAGCCAGAAAUGGUGUCAAACAACUUAAUACAGCUAUUUGGAUGUUUCUGUUUUUUUUUUGCAGGGCUGGAUGUUUCUGUUCUAGUUGAUCAGGAGAUAAAUGACUGGCUUGUAGCUUUGAUCUGAAGUCUAUUUGUUAAUGCCUGGAAAGAGCAUGGCACCGCAGGGUAGCUAUACUGCUUGGGCUGUAGUUACAAGUAGAACAGGAAAACAAAUAUGGUUUCGUUUGUGCUACAAAGCUAUUAGUCAUCUCUUCAUCUUCAUUUCUUUUCAAGCUGCACGAUUGUACGUACUGAAUCACCAAGAGUCCAAGACCAUAUUCCCUAUUAUCUUGGUAUGGGCAUCAAAGUCUCUAUAGAAAGUUGUUGGAGGGUUAUAAUGAGAUUGAUUAACUGUGGGCAGUAGGGGCUCUCUACUUGGUCUAUGGAGACAGGAAACGUUUGUGACUGUUGAAUUUACAGUACCUUGAUGUUGAAUUUACAAGAUGCUGAUGUUGGAUUUACUGUCUUGUAGCUUUUGUAAUUUACAGUAGCUCCACAAAGUUUGUGACUGUUGUUUGUACAGUGAGCUAUAUAGAAUGCUUGAUCACAUGAAUUAGUCUGAAUGCAUAUUUACAGUACUCUUAUGUUGAAUUUAUAGUAUACCGAUGGUGGAUUUUACUGUCCUCUAGAUUCUGUAAUUUAUAGUAGCUCCAUAUAGUGCCAUUGUUGUUUGUACAGUUAGUUGAUAUAGAAUGCUUGAUCACAUGAAUUUGUAUGAAUGUAUAUUACAGUUUCCUGAUGUUUCAUUUGUAAUACAUUGAUGAUGGAUUUACGGUCCUAUAGCUUCUGUAAAUUUCAGUAGUUCCUAAAAGUUUGUGACUGCUGUUUUUUACAGUGAGCUGAUAGUGAAUUUUCCAGAGGCCACCUCUUGCUGAGAACACCAUCACUACGUUGCACUCUGAUUUUGCUCUAACUGUUGUCCUCCUAAUAGGCACUAUACUUUCGCUUUCUACUUCUUUUGUUUUGCCAUGUUUGUUACACUUCACCGUGAUUCUUGUAUAGUAGUGUUUUUCUUGUUUGUUGUUCUCGAUGCUGCAACAGUAGUGACUGAAAAUCCAGCGACACUCGAAUAGAAGUUGAAGAAUUCCUGCCCUUCUUCUCUUGUCUUGAACUCCAUGCCAGGUGUGGCUUUAUAACGCUCUCAGUGUUCAUGACAUUUCCUUCUUGUGCUACAGUAUUUUCAUUUUCCAAGAAAUUCUCAAUAACCUCUUCAUUAAAUACUCAUCUUCCUUUUCAGUCUGCUGUAACUGAUGGUUAUCCAUGCUAUUCUCAGUUUCAUUAUUACUCUCUGCGUGUUCCACAUGUGGCACAUUGUCUGAAGUGUAUGAAUUUCCAUGUAACAUGAUGGAUCCUUCAUCUUCAGCUACCUAUAACAAGUGUAUGCUUUUUAUUUAUUUAUUUGUCAAUGAAUGUUUGUUGCUGAUGCUAUCUGAUUAUAUGUUUACAUUUUAGUUUCUCUACUUGAUGUUUCUCAAUUACCUUGUCCAAGCUUAGGUUGUCAAAAAGUCCUACUUCCCAGGGAUUUGAAGAAGCUGGAUCAAUACUCGCUUCAUCUCCUUGUGUUAGUUGCGGGACCUGCAAACAUGGUAGAAGGUUAGUUCCUUAAAAUAAAUUAAAGAAGCUUUCUGUAGCUUGUUGCCUUAUUGUACAUUGUUGUAAGGGUUGUACAGUCCUGUAUCAUCGAACUGAUUUUCUGUAGCAUGUUGUCCAUCCUGGUAGUUGACUAAGUUAUUUUCUGUGAACUGUUCCUGUUUCAAGCAAGGAAGUCGAUGCAAUUUUUUGUCUGACGUGUGUAAUGUACCAUGUAGUUCAGCUUUGCAUGCACUCUAUGUAUUUACCUCAAAGUAGAUGCCUGACUGGAGCAACUGAGUGAAUGAACAAGUACCCUGCAGAGAGUUAGUUCAUAGGUUACGUAACAACAACAAAUUGUUCAGUUAUCUGAUCCUUGUCAAAAAGUAAUUGCUUUUUUACUUACAUUGAGAAAAGCAUCAUCUUCAGUGUACAUAAAUUCCAUGUCCUUUGCAAUGUUUGGCUGCCUUGAAUGAUGCACAUGUUGACUUUCUGUCUCUGUAUGUUGGGUGGGAUCAAGCCCCUACAUGCAGUAGAAAUUUAUUUUGUUUUUCCAUGUAUGUUUGGUGAAGUCAUGCAACUGAAGCACCUCAUUGUCCCCUGUAUUUUUUGCAACUUGUUUGUCUAUGUAUGUUUGGUGAAGUCAUUCAAGUGAAGUGAUAUAUUUUUCUGAGUGUUUGUCUAUGUAUGUUGAGUGAAGUAGUGAAGAAGUCAUUUCGUUGGUCCGUUAGAAAUUUAUUUUGUUUAUUUUUUACUAAUGGGUAAUACUGUCCAGUUUACAGUGGCUCCUAAAAGUUUGUGUUUACAUUUACAGUUUCUUCAUGAUGAAUUUACAGUACCAUGACGAUGGAAUAAUUGCCCUGUAGUUACUAGAUUUUUUUGUAUCGCUAUGAUGGAUUUUACUAUCCUAUAGUACUCAUAGAAGUCUGUUUUUCUGUUUUUGUAGUAAAUUAUAGUUAAUUGAUGACGAAUUUACAGUAACCUGAUGAUGGAUUUACUGUCCUAUAGCUUCUAUAAUUUACAGUACUACUAUAAUUUUUUAUCAGAAUCGCUAAUUUACAGCCGGUUGAAAACAAUUCGUUUUUCCUGCCGUACAAUAUCUGUGCUGAGAUUCGUGGUUUUUCCAUGCCUCCGCCAGCUUGUUUGUUAUCGGGCCCGCCAAAAAUUCGGGACGCCCUGUUAUUUCCUCAUCAGAGUCCUUUUUGAUUUUUUUCUUUUUCUCUACUCUAUUCUGUAGGUCCUCCCCUUCCCCUUUCUCAUUUUCAGCCAGUCAACCAGAGCUGAGAGAGAGGGAGGCAUGGCGAUUUGGAAGGCCCCCCCCUCGCCGCCGGCUCCCCCUCCCCGCCCUCUCCCUGCUGCAUCUCUCCCGUCUGUUCGAGGAUGCUUCAUGUGUUGGUCGCUUCUCAGAUGUGUUUCUAUCGAUGUGUGUUAUGUGUUUGGCGCUCAAAUCUAUUGUUUAUUCCCUCUUGUUAGUUGCAUUUAGCUGUGAUAGGUCCCCACAGGUAUGAUGUAUGUGGUUGUGUUGUCCGUGCGCUUGAUUUAGCUGUGUAUCGUGCAUUCAGGUUGCUAGCGGAUUGCUUCCUGUUGUGUUGGAUUGAGUCUGGAUUUAUGUUCUAAUGAUAGAUAUGACAUAGUUUGUUAUGUCAGUGAUUGCCCGGUCUCGUUUCCUAAUUGAUAGAAAUGAUUUUGUUGGGUGUGACUAGUAGUAACUUACUGGUAUAUUGGUCUCUAAUCCUAUGUUGGUGCAAUUGUUGUUCUUGUGUUUAGAGGGUGUUCAUUUCAUUCAGUUUGUAGUUAAGUUUGCUGUCUAGCCUUAGUUUGUUAUGCCUGCAGUGUAAUUGUGAAUUUCUCUUCUAUUUACAGUCAUCUUAAGGUCUUUUUACAGUGUCUAUGCCGCUGUAAUUUCUAUGACUUUUUCACUAUUUGUUGGGUAAUACAAUUUUUUAACAUGAUAUAUGCAUUAAGCUUUGUUUUCUAUUUUACAGUCUCCUUAUUGUCUAUUUACAGUGUAUAUGCAACUAUUGUAAAAACAAUUUCUCUUCUAGUACAGCAUCUUAAGGACUUUUUACAGUGCGAAUAGAAAUAUUCUAACUUGAUAAGCACAAUAAUUUUGGCUUAUCUAACACUAUAAUUCCAGUCAUCUAGAACUGUAUUUCAAAUGUAAUCCCCACUGUAAUCUCUAUUGAUCAGCAAUGUAAUUCUAGUGGUUUGCUACUGUAAUUCUAGUGGUUUACUAUUGUAAUGUCUAUUGGUUUUUGUAAGUUUUAUUUGAUAAGCACUGUAAUUCUACUGAAUUUUCUACUGUAAUCUCUAUUGGUUUUGAUUGUAAUUUCUCUUUUUAGCUCUGUUUUUGUAUUUGUAAUUUCCAUUUUUUUCCUGGAUUACUACUGUAAUAUAAGAUGCAUGCCUUUGUAAUUAUCUUGCUUGCCAGUAUAAUUCAUUGGUUUUUAGUUGAUUUCGACUUUAAUUUAAGUUGAUUUGCAAUGUAAUUUUAAGUUGUUUCCCACUGUAAUCUCUGUUGCCUUUUUAGUGUAAAUUAUAUCUUGCUCUUCUAGUACUCCCUCCGUAAACUAAUAUAAGAGUGUUUAGAUCACUAAAAUAGUGAUCACUAAAAUAGUGAUCUAAACACUCUUAUAUUAGUUUACAGAGGGAGUAAUUUUUAAUUUUCAUGCCGUUUGCAUCUGCCUCUGUAUCUUCAGUGCGAAAUGCACUGUAUUCUCAUCUUGCUUAUUAAUGUAUUUCCAGUGGUUUAGCAUUGUAAUUUAAAUGUAAUUACAUAGUUAUUUUCCGCGGGUUUACUAUUGUAAUCUAUAGUGAUUUUUCCUGUAAUUAGCCUGGUUUAGUUAUGUAAUCUUCUUGUUAGUAUUCUGUUUUCUUGAUGAAUGUGCUAAUGUGAUUUCUUCAUUGAUGAAUGCUUCGCCAUUCUGAGUUGCAUGCCCAUCUCAAGUUACAAAGGCAGGCAACAUAUAACCCUGCUCCUCCAGUGUGCAUUGGCAGCAAGAAAGAAAGUAGGUUUCUAGCGAGCUAUUUUCAUGUUAGUUGUGUUUCCUUUUUGUUUUUUAAGUUGUCUGCCAUUGUAAUUUAUGUUGCUUGCCAGUGUAUUCCAUUUCCAUUUACUGUAGGCCUGCCUUUGAAAUUUUAGUUGAUCGCCUCCAUAAUUUAUGUUGCUUGUGAGUGUAUAUUUUCUCUUACUGUUUAUAUUCAGUGAUAGUAGCGUAAGCAGUUUAGUGUAUUCUUUUUGUCUACUAAAAUGCAACUUGAUUCUAGAACAAUAGGAACUACCCAUGAAAUAAUUUCAUUUGUAAAAUGUAAUAAGCCCGAAUGCAGUAAAGCGUGGACUAUGCAUGCCUGAAUUUUUUACAAGAUUUUCGAUAGUAAUUGUCUUACAGAACUACAGUAUUUUUUUCAACCAUAGUUCUUGGUGUCUUUUCCAGUCUAGUCUUUCAAGUUUUGUACUGUUUAUUUUGGACAUUCGUACAGUGCCUAUGUUUCUGAAUUACAUUGUAAUCUAACUUGUAAUUAACAAGCCAGGAUGCCGUAAAUAUUAUAGUCACAGUAAUUGCAAAGAGAAGCUCACAGCAAGUUGAUCGAGAAGUCACGGUAAUUUGAGCUCUUGUAUAGUGCCAAAGUUUCUGAAAUUCUGUCUUUUGUUCCUUGAAUUUUUGUUUGAUCAUUUCCCAAUUGAUUUAUAUGAACAUCUUUCCCCCCUUAGUCUCUUGACCCUACACUGUGUUGCUUGGUUCUUCUAUCUUUUCUGUAGCAUCUAAGAAGAUUUCCAUAGUUCGAACGCCAAUUAGUAUCAGUGCAUAGCCUGAUUUUUUCAGUCUAUUUUGUGAACAUUAGUUUCAGUGUGAACUUCUUUGUAAUUUCAAUUAAACUUCACAGUAAUUCAAACUUCAAGUCACAGGAAUUUGUAACAGUGAGUUUCUGGAAUACAGUUUUUUGUUCCUAGACUUUUUGUUUGAGCAUUUUCACAGUUGAUCCACAACUUUCUGAUCAUGUUUUCUUCUUGAUCUGACUAGUUUUCUGCCUGUGCAACUAUUCUCUCUCCUUCCUCCAUCCUCUUCCUCUUUCUUAUCUGAUCAUAAAUCACACAUUGUUUCUGGUUUCUCUUUAUUUUUACUGAAGUUCCAAUAUCUUUGUUGUAAUUUGGCUGUAGUGACUGUAAUUUUAGUAAAAUGAGCAUUGUAAAUUCAUCGAAACUGAAUAUGUGAUACGCUAUAGAGGUUCACUGUAAAUUUCAACUGAAGCCAUUGUAAAUACAAAAGUAGCUGCAAUUUAAAGUGUAACUGUAAAGCUUAAUGAUGAUGAAAUUUUCAGUAUGUGAUGAUUAAUUUACAGUAGCUUGUUGAUAAAUUUACAGCAGCCACAUGAUGAAUUUGCUGGUCUUUUGAUGAAUUUACAGUAUUUGUUGAUCAUUUUACAGCAGGUUGAUGAUGAUUUUACAGCAGCCUAAUGAUGAAUUUACAGUAUGUUUGUGUUCAGGAGUUUCUUCCACAAGUAUCAACUUGAGAUCUUUGAUGAUGCCAUGAGAAUUUCGUGUUCUCUUCCAAAAGUGUGUGAAGAAGAACAAAAAUGUCAAUAAUCUAGAGAAGGUUGUGAGUAGUGACCUGGCAGUGUUGCUUUUUGGGCCCUUGCGUUGCUUACUCAUGGAUAGAGCGCACAGGUCAUACAAACAUGUGUCACAUUUGUAGUGCCUGAUAAAAUUGAUUGAAUGUCUCUUUAUUUUCAGUCAAAGUUUUUGCCCGUUGGACAUGUGACAUACAUACAGAUAGGUGUCAGAUUGUUACUGGUUGGCAUAUUUGAUUGAAGGCCAGUUCAAUUUCAGUGAAUUGUAAUAUAGACACUCGUUUUUUUUAACUUAAUAUAUAGCUGGAACACUGCUUACGCUCUGACGUUAGCAAAAUAACCAGACUAAACAAUAGGACAGGGAACAGAAUGUACAGGGGCGCUUCAAAGAUUUGUUCCACUUUUGGAUGUAAUCUCCGGGAAAAUAUCAGGUGAUACUGUCUCCUUACCUGCCGGCAUACCAAACCCCAGGACCUGACUGCAUUGUGUCGAUGGGAGACUGUACCUUAAAAGAUUUGUUGCAUUUCCUGCUUCCAAUAUGUUUCAGCAUGCAUGAACGGCAACCAACACUUGCCUUGCCAGAGCCGUGUGCUGCCAUCCAUCGCCGCUGUAUUGUAUCCCAUCUGCCGUGAGUAAUCUGCCUUGCAGCAUAAGCCAAGUGGAGAACUGGCGGCAUUGGGAUUUUGUUGGGCCCACCCUGCCAGGCUAGCUAGCUAUAUAGUCAUCAGGUGCCAUAAACGCAUCCCUAUCGAACCAAUUCAGUCCAGCAAAUACCCCCCCGGGCGCGCGCGCGAGAGAGAGGGAGAUGGCGGAGGAGGCGGCAUGGCGGGUGGAGCUCCGGGCCCGGUUGACCUCCGUCCAGGAGGAUGUCGACGGGCUCUUCUCGAGGCUUGACCGGAGCGUCGCCGCUCUCGAGCAGGAGCGGCUCCACGGCCGCGACGCGCCGACCACCACGAGUGCCAGCGCUCGGGGGACGGUCGAGGCGGCGCUCGACGACCUCAGCGAGUUGUGCGCCUCGCUCGGCGUCGCCGCCGCCGACAUGCUCGAGAUCGAGAAGGGAGCGCUCGCCGGAGGAAGCGACGACCAGGCGGCGCCGCUCCUCUCCAUCCAGGACUUUCACGGCCGAGACGAGGGCGCGUUCCACGCCCUCCUCGGGCUCCAGAGUGCGAGGGCGCACGCCGGGGACGCCCGAGGGAGCGUCGAGUCGGCCUGCGGCUUCAUGAGAGCCGCGGGGCUCAUCCUCGGGACUCAGCCACGCCCGCCGCGGGUCGGGGUCAUCCUGAACCACAAGCGAUUGGGGGCUGUCAACGCUCUACGGGGGCGGUCGGGGCGUGGGGUGACUGCCGUGCGGAGGUGCGGGCCGCGAUCCCACAUUUGGUUGCGGCGGAGGACAAUGAGAUAUGGUGGGAGCAGGCUGGCGAGCUGCCUCACGCCGAGGAUGACGCGGAGGUUGAGGGCGACGACGACGCCGAUGAGGGCGAGGAUGACGAGGAGGCCGUGUGGUGGGAGGUCGAUGACGGCGAGGGCUCUGCAUCAGAGGAGGAGGAGGAGGAGGACGCCGGGAGAUCUGAGUUGGACGGCAGCGCCAAGUCCCCGCCGUGAUCGCUUCUACGCACCUCCUGGGGUCGUGAGCCGGACUGCAGUGGAUUCCGGAUGAUCGACGCAGAUUCGGCCGAGAACAACAGCAACUGUGGUUGGUUGGUUGCCUUCUGCACUAGCAGUUAGUCCGAUUUUUUUUGCUUUUCACUCGGAGGAUUUUGUCCAUUGGUUUAGUUCAUCCGAGCAGAAACAGAUACACUUGUAUAGCCAAGAGAUAGGGAUGCCUGUAUAGCGAAGGGCCAAAUUCAUGUCCGGGAACCGGGAUCACUGAAAUGUACUUCCUCCCAGCGUGUACUGAAUCACUGAUGUACUUGUAGUCACUCUGUGCGUUUGGUUUAUUCGGUUUUUCGGUUUGUACGGUAUUAAUACUUGGUAAAUACGGUAUAAAAUUAAAAUAUGGUUCGGUUUCGGUAUAUACAAAUUAUUUGGUAUGGUUUCGGUAUAUACCAUAAUAACCAAAGUUGACGCGAAUUUGAAAAUGACAUAAUAAUAAUUGCAAAUUUAUGACUCAAAACACAUAUUAUUUUACACAAAAUAGUAUAUAACUAUAUAUAUAAGUAUAUAUGCAUGCAUUAAUUCAUCUGUUGAUGAUUAUGGACGUGCUUAGCAUUUUAAAUAGAGAAAAAUGAGUAUGUUACCAGAAAAUUUUACGUGCUUAGUAGUGAAUUUGACUCAUGUACGAGGAAAAUGACGACUUGUACGGUUGUUAAUCUCAAUAAAUAUAAAUUUAUUUUUUACUUUGGUUUAUUCAGUUAACCGUUCAGUUUUUGGUAUAUACCAUAAAAACCAAAGUUCAAAUCGGUAUGAAAAGUUCAUACCAUACAGAAACCAGAAACCAUAAAAACCAUAAAAUGUUCAGUGCGGUUUCAUUUCGGUAUGGUUUUUCGGUUCGGUUUUUAAAUGCACAGAGUGAACUUGUAGUAGCAUUCCCAGUGUAGUGCUCACCAUAAGAGUUCGCCUCACUGAAAUGCACAUGAAGCUUGCAUAAUGAGGUAAAUACAGUACUGGUGCUUGAACUUGCUAUGCAUGUUUACUUUAGUGCUCACAGUUGUAUAUGAAAAAGGGUCUUCCUGCUUUAGAUUAUAAAGCAACAACCAACCGAUACAACCAGCUCGCUGGGGCCGCAGCACAAGCAAGCCCAAAAGAAAAAGGAGAGAAAGAAAAAAGAAAAAGGGUCUCCCUGCUUUAGAUUAUAAAGCAACAACCAACCGAUACAACCAGCUCGCUGGGGCCGGCAGCUUAACUAAGCGAAGAUGGCUGACAACCGCUGCAUUCUUCGGAGAAGUACCACCAUACGCCUAGCACUCCGAAGCCUCGCGUACCAAGCAACACCUUCUGGAAGGAAUGCGACGACGACGCCGCAGCUGCCCGGACAAGUCCUGGGGCUUCCCCCGGUACACGAAUGGCAGUGGGGAAGGGAUAUCACCGAUGCCCCUUAGGACGGCUCGCAGCCGCGCCAGUGGCGAACGAGCCGCCAGAGAUUUCUCCAGCCCUGAAACCACCACCGUCACCCCAGACAAUCAAAAGUGCACCGUCCAACAUGCCGCCCACCAACCUGUGCCACCACAAUCACCGCACCAACUUCACCGUCUCACAGAGGACACCAACACGAUACCUGGAGGUAGGACGAGGAGACACCGGACUCGGGAGCAACCGCAACACAGCCAACAAGAGGGGACAACCUCACAGUUGGAGUAGUAAAGAAAACUGGCGUAAAAACUUCGCUCGCGGAUGUAGUACGUGCAUUUUUUAAUCUCUGUACGCUGGUUCACGGUGCUAACGAUUGUGCCAGGGGCCCACUGUCAGCGACCAGAAGGGUCGGAGCAGUGCAUUUUUUCAAAGCCCCCAUGCUUUUGUGACCAAUCGCACAAAAGGCCAUCAAAAGGCCAUUUAACCUGAAAGAGUUAAAAAUUGAGCCGUGAUCUUGAAGAUUGUGUCACUUCUCUAAUAGUAGUAUUAACACAUAUAUUUGUCCUAUGUUCAAAAAAAACACAUAUAUUUGUCCGAUCUCCAGACACGCUUACUACUUGGGUCUAGAUUUCUAGCUAGCCUGGUUAAGAGUGAGAAAGCCAGUAUACAACAUUGGUAGUUACUGGACCUUAAAGAUCAUCUUGGCUUCCUUCACGUGGUGUGAAAUAGGACAAACACUUACACUGUCAUGCAGGUUGUUAUUCAUGACAUCCCUCACAAUUCAUCUUUAGUUGUUCAAUACCUAAAAGCAUAUGGUGAUUAUAUUUGUUAAUCAUACAUAGUAAUAUAUUCGCUAAAUGUUCAUUACCGUUAAAAUCAGGGGCGGAGCUAGGAUUGGGCCACGCCCCGGGCCCAGGCUGAUACAAUAUGCUACAGUGUUGCUACAUGGUCCAGAAUGCUACAGUAACCAAAGCAACUAUUGUGCACACCCCAGGCCCAGCCUCCCCCUCCUCCCCCACCCCGCCUGGGUCCUGGAUCCGCCACUAGUUACAACAUCAGGUAUAAGCACAAACACUUAAAUUGCCGCUUCUUAUGAGAAAUGCCACCUAAAUUGCCUCCCAGCUUCAUUUAGGUUGCAUCCAACACCGCUUUUAGAGACAAGCAUCGGUACAUUGAAGUAGGUAAGGUCUGGACUAAUUAAACCUUCAGUUCACAACUACUCUAUUUUUGCAUUUAGCUGUGAUGUGCUUUAUACUAUGGUAAUUUAUUAGAAAAGGAUUAUCAUCCUUUUGGUUACAUCUGAAUUUAGGAAAAAAAUAUAGUUUCCGUCCUUCAACCCUCCUGAAAGUAUAGAAAUAGUGCCUCAACUUUUUAAACUGGGUAACUUUAGUCCCUCAUAGCGCUUCAGGUGGUUCCUAUCUGAAGUGGACAUGGUUUUGACCAAAUCUUGACACGUCAUCCAUGUUUGAGUACCACAUUACGGUUCACGUCACAUGAGUGACCCCAACACUUUGCCCUUCGCCGCUUGCAUCAAGACCGUGCUCCACCAUGUUGCCGUUACCUCCGUGGUUCGAGAACUACCACAAUUGGGGUUUGUGUCCCACAGAACUACCACAUUUUAAAAGUGUGUUCGCACACAAACACGUCAUUGUGUACCUCCAACGCCGAGGGUAAUGUACCGCAGCUCACGUCGAAGGAGACCCGGCCGGAAGCGCGAUACGCAGGCAAUCAUGCGGGCGCUUUUGUAGACCUGAAACCCCACACACCCGGGAGGGACCCGCCUGGACGCGUGACGGCUAUGGGCUGCCCUAGGUCGACCUGAUCGCCCCUAGGGCCUCGUGGAUCGCUUCCCUGCAAAUGAAGAACGAGCGAAGAACGAGAAGAAGAAGAACUAAGGUUAAGGAGAAAAGAUAAAAGAUAAAAAGUGGAAGAUGAUUUGUUCGAUUGUGUGUUGUUCAAUCGGCCGUCACCCCUUUGGUAUAUAAGAGGCGGAUGGACUUCCCGUACAAGAAAAUGACUCCAAAUCAUGUCCAAAUCACGUCCAAGUCUUUCCAAAAUUAACCGAACUCGGAUUUAGGUAAGUUUGGAAUAUCAAUUCGGUUUUCAGGCCCCACAGGCCACAAACGACCUCGGAUGAAGAUGAGCCCAAAAGCAAAUUUGACUGUUUCAAUGAGACGAACAAAUUUCAUCUUGAACAUUUUUUGAUCAGAGGCCAUCUUGAGGGGGUUUUCGGCUGUUUUCCGAAUUCUGCAGUAGAGAAAUCCAAAACCCGGACGAACAUCCUGGAGUGUUCGGCCAUCCUUGGAGAAACCCAAAACCCGGAUGAUUAUCCCCGAAGAGUCCGGCCAUCCUGAUGUAGUCGCGCAUUUUCGGCUCUAACUUUUGCAUACAAACUUCGAUUGAGACAUUUUUUAUAUCAAAAUCAACCGCUUCGACAAGACGCACAACUUUCAUGUUGAAACGUUUUCCAUCUGAGGACAUCUUAAUUGGGUUUCAAGCCAUUCUUUAAUCUGGUGUCAACAUAAGCAUCUCUAAACUUGUCAUAACUUUUGCAUCCGAGCUUCGUUUUAGACCAUCUUCAUAUCCAUAUUGAUCUUCUCGAAGAGAGCCAUCUCAUGGUGACUUUCAAUAAUAAGUUUGAAUUAAUCUUGACAUAGCUUCAAGCUACUCUUUCUGAUCGUGCCACUUUUGAGCGUCAACACAUGCCCCUCUAUUUUUCGGCAAAGCUAGAUGCCGAAAAAUAACUUGUACCGUGUUGGUUCUAAGGACGAUGUCAACACUCCAUCGGCCAUUUAUAUGCAUAGGGCGAUAAUUAUGUACCGGCCAUUAUUAAUUUUUGAAUCCUUGAUGCAAACUUCGGCGAAACCUUCUCAACUUCAUUAACAAUCCGAUGAUAAAGUUCCAUAGAUAUGUAUCUCAAGGUCAUCCUCCAAACCAUAUUUUUCACCCUUUUGCUAGGAUUUUGUAGAUAAUCAACAAUAAACUUUCUCCAAUCCUUACUUUCGCCUGCAUAAAAAUUUCAUUAGUGGCCGAAGCUAUGGACUUUGCUUCGGCCUUACCUAUGUUGACGAGACUAAGCAUCGACUAUUGAGAGAAAUGCAAUACACCAUGAUUAUGUUGGGGAACGUAGCAAUAAUUCAAAAUUUUCUACGCAUCACCAAGAUCAAUCUAUGGAGUUUACUAGCAACGAGAGGGAGGAGUGCAUCUACAUACCCUUGUAGAUCGUGAGCGGAAGCGUUCAAGAGAACGGGGUUGAUGGAGUCGUACUCGUCGUGAUCCAAAUCACCGAUGAUCCAAGCGCCGAACGGACGGCACCUCCGCGUUCAACACACGUACGGAAUGGUGACGUCUCCCACGCCUUGAUCCAGCAAGGAGGAGGGAGAGGUUGAGGAAGAAGGCUCCAACAGCAGCACAACGGCGUGGUGGUGGUGGAGUGACAGUUCUCCGGCAAGGCUUCGCCAAGCUCGCGCGGAGGAGGAGAGGUGUUGGGGAGGGGAGGGGCUGCGCCUUGGAUGUCGUGUGGCUGCCCUCCCCUCACCCCUCUAUUUAUAGGGAGAAGGGGGAAGGGGGGCGGCCCCUCUAGAUGGGAUCUAGAGGGGGGGGCGGCCAAGGGGGAGGUGGCUUGCCCCCCAAGCAAGGGGGGGCGCCCCCCUUUAGGGUUCCCCCAAACCCUAGGCGCAUGGGCCCUAGGGGGUUUGGCGCCCCAGCCCACUUAGGGGCUGGUUCCCUUCCACCUACAGCCCAUAAGGCCCUCCGGGGCAGGUGGACCCUCCCGGUGGACCCCCGGAACCCCUUCGGUGGCCCCGGUACAAUACCGGCAUACCCCCGAACACUUCCGGUGACCGUAUGGUGACUUCCCAUAUAUAAAUCUUUACCUCCGGACCAUUCCGGAACUCCUCGUGACGUCCGGGAUCUCAUCCGGGACUCCGAACAACAUUCGGUAAUCGCAUACAUACCUUCCUUAUAACCCUAGCGUCAUCGAACCUUAAGUGUGUAGACCCUACGGGUUCGGGAAUCAUGCAGACAUGACCGAGACACCUCUCUAGCCAAUAACCAACAGUGGGAUCUGGAUACCCAUGUUGGCUCCCACAUGUUCCACGAUGAUCUCAUCGGAUGAACCACGAUGUCAAGGAUUCAAGCAAUCCCGUAUAUAAUUCCCUUUGUCAAUCGGUACGUUACUUGCCCGAGAUUCGAUCGUCGGUAUCCCAAUACCUCGUUCAAUCUCGUUACCGACAAGUCACUUUACUUGUUCCGUAAUGCAUGAUCCCGUGACUAACUACUUAGUCACAUUGAGCUCAUUAUGAUGAUGCAAUACCGAGUGGGCCCAGAGAUACCUCUCCGUCAUAUGGAGUGACAAAUCCCAGUCUCGAUCCGUGCCAACCCAACAGACACUUUCGGAGAUACCUGUAGUGCACCUUUAUAGUCACCCAAUUACGUUGUGACGUUUGGUACACCCAAAGCAUUCCUACGGUGUCCAGGAGUUGCACGAUCUCAUGGUCUAAGGAAAUGAUACUUGACAUUAAAAAAGCUUCAGCAAACGAACUACACGAUCUAGUGCUAUGCUUAGGAUUGGGUCUUGUCCAUCAUAUCAUUCUCCUAAUGAUGUGAUCCCGUUAUCAAUGACAUCCAAUGUCCAUGGUCAGGAAACCGUAACCAUCUAUUGAUCAACGAGCUAGUCAACUAGAGGCUCACUAGGGACAUGUUAUGGUCUAUGUAUUCACACAUGUAUUACGAUUUCCGGAUAACACAAUUAUAGCAUGAAUAACAGACAAUUAUUAUGAACAAGGAAAUAUAAUAAUAACCAUUUUAUUAUUGCCUCUAGGGCAUAUUUCCAACAGUCUCCCACUUGCACUAGAGUCAAUAAUCUAGUUACAUUGUGAUGAAUCAUACACCCAUAGAGUUCUGGUGUUGAUCAUGUUUAGCCCGUGGUAGAGGUUUAGUCAACGGAUCUGCUACAUUCAAAUCCGUAUGUACUUUACAAAUAUCUAUGUCUCCAUUUUGAACAUUUUCACGAAUGGAGUUGAAGCGACGCUUGAUGUGCCUGGUCUUCUUGUGAAACCUGGGCUCCUUGGCAAGGGCAAUAGCUCCAGUGUUGUCACAGAAGAGAGUCAUCGGCCCUGAUGCAUUUGGGAAUAACUCCUAGGUCGGCAAUGAACUCCUUCAUCCAAAUUGCUUCAUGCGCUGCCUCCGAGGCUGCCAUGUACUCCGCUUCACACGUAGAUCCCGCCAUGACGCUUUGCUUGCAACUGCACUAGCUGACUGCCCCACCAUUCAAAAUAUACACGUAUCCGGUUUGUGACUUAGAGUCAUCCAGAUCUGUGUCGAAGCUAGCAUCGACGUAACCCUUUACGACGAGCUCUUCGUCACCUCCAUAAACAAGAAACAUAUCCUUGGUCCUUUUCAGGUACUUCAGGAUGUUCUUGACCGCUGUCCGGUGUUCCAUGCCGGGAUUACUUUGGUACCUUCCUACCAAACUUACGGCAAGGUUUACAUCAGGUCUGGUACACAGCAUGGCAUACAUAAUAGACCCUAUGGCCGAGGCAUAGGGGAUGACACUCAUCUUUUCUUUAUCUUCUGCCGUGGUCGGGCAUUGAGCCGUGCUCAAUCUCACACCUUGCAAUACAGGCAAGAACCCCUUCUUGGACUGAUCCAUAUUGAACUUCUUCAAUAUCUUAUCAAGGUAUGUGCUUUGUGAAAGACCUAUGAGGCGUCUCGAUCUAUCUCUAUAGAUCUUGAUGCCUAAUAUGUGAGCAGCUUCUCCAAGAUCCUUCAUUGAAAAACUCUUAUUCAAGUAGGCCUUUAUGCUCUCCAAGAAUUCUAUAUCAUUUCCCAUCAACAGUAUGUCAUCCACAUAUAAUAUGAGAAAUGCUAUGGAGCUCCCACUCACUUUCAUGUAAACACAUGCUUCUCCAUAAGUCUGUGUAAACCCAAACGGUUUGAUCAUCUCAUCAAAGCGAAUGUUCCAACUCUGAGAUGCUUGCACCAGCCCAUAGAUUGAGCGCUGGAGCUUGCAUACCUUGUCAGCAUUCUUAGGAUCGACAAAACCUUCCGGCUGCAUCAUAUACAAUUCUUCCUUAAGGAAGCCGUUAAGGAAUGCCGUUUUGACAUCCAUUUGCCAUAUCUCAUAAUCGUAGAAUGCGGCAGUUGCUAACAUGAUUCGGACGGACUUCAGCUUCGCUACAGGUGAGAAGGUCUCAUCGUAGUCAACUCCUUGAACUUGUCGAUAACCCUUAGCGACAAGUCGAGCUUUAUAGAUGGUAACAUUUCCAUCCGCGUCCGUCUUCUUCUUAAAGAUCCAUUUAUUUUCUAUCGCUCGCCGAUCAUCGGGCAAGUCUGUCAAAGUCCAUACUUUGUUUUCAUACAUGGAUCCUAUCUCGGAUUGCAUGGCUUCAAGCCAUUUGUUGGAAUCUGGGCCUGCCAUUGUUUCUUCAUAGUUCGAAGGUUCACCGUUGUCCAACAACAUGAUUUCCAGGACAGGGUUGCCGUACCACUCUGGUGCGGAACGUGUCCUUGUGGACCUACGAAGUUCAGUGGUAACUUGAUCAUGAUCGUCAUCAUUAACUUCCUCUCUCGUUGGUGCAGGCACCACAGAAACAUUUUCUUGUGCUGCGCUACUUUCUGGUUCGAGAGGGGUCAUCUCAUCAAGUUCCACUUUCCUCCCACUUACUUCUUUCGAGAGAAACUCUUUCUCCAGAAAGGACCCGUUCUUGGCAACGAAGAUCUUGCCUUCGGACCUGAGGUAGAAGGUAUACCCAAUGGUUUCCUUAGGGUAUCCUAUGAAGACGCAUUUUUCCGACUUGGGUUCGAGCUUUUCAGGUUGAAGUUUCUUGACAUAAGCAUCACAUCCCCAAACUUUAAGAAACGACAGCUUAGGUUUCUUUCCAAACCAUAGUUCAUACGGUGUCGUCUCAACGGAUUUCGACGGAGCCCUAUUUGAAUGCGGCAGUCUCUAAAGCAUAACCCCAAAAUGAUAGCGGUAGAUCGGUAAGAGACAUCAUAGAUCGCACCAUAUCCAAUAGAGUGCGAUUACGACGUUCGGACACACCAUUACGCCGAGGUGUUCCAGGCGGCGUGAGUUGUGAAACAAUUCCACAUUUCCUUAAGUGUGUGCCAAAUUUGUGACUCAAAUAUUCCCCUCCACGAUCUGAUCGUAAGAACUUUAUUUUCCUGUCACGUUGAUUCUCAACCUCAUUCUGAAAUUCCUUGAACUUUUCAAAAGUCUCAGACUUGUGUUUCAUUAAGUAGAUAUACCCAUAUCUACUCAAGUCAUCAGUGAGGGUGAGAACAUAAUGAUAGCCACCGCGAGCCUCAACGCUCAUGGGACCGCACACAUCAGUAUGUAUGAUUUUCAAUAAGUUGGUUUCUCCCUCCAUUGUUCCGGAGAACGGAGUCUUGGUCAUUUUGCCCAUGAGGCAUGGUUCGCACGUGUCAAAUGAUUCAUAAUCAAGAGACUCCAAAAGUCCAUCUGCAUGGAGCUUCUUCAUGCGUUUGACACCAAUGUGACCAAGGCGGCAGUGCCACAAGUAUGUGGGACUAUCAUUAUUAACCUUACAUUUCUUGGCAUUCAUACUAUGAAUAUGUGUAACAUUACGUUCGAGAUUCAUUAAGAAUAAACUAUUGACCAACGGGGCAUGACCAUAAAACAUAUCUCUCAUAUAAAUAGAACAACCAUUAUUCUCGGAUUUAAAUGAGUAGCCAUCUCGCAUCAAACGAGUUCCAGAUACAAUGUUCAUGCUCAAAGCUGGCACUAAAUAACAAUUAUUGAGGUUUAAAACUAAUCCCGUAGGUAAAUGUAGAGGUAGCGUGCCGACGGCGAUCACAUUGACCUUUGAACCAUUCCCGACGCGCAUCGUCACCUCGUCCUUCGCCAGUCUCCGCUUAUUCUGCAGCUCCUGCUUUGAGUUACAAAUAUGAGCAACCGCACCGGUAUCAAAUACCCAGGAGCUACUAUGAGCGCUGGUUAGGUACACAUCAAUAACAUGUAUAUCACAUAUACCUUUGGUUUUGCCGGCCUUCUUAUCCGCUAAGUACUUGGGGCAGUUCCGCUUCCAGUGACCGUUUCCCUUGCAAUAAAAGCACUCAGUCUCAGGCUUGGGUCCAUUCUUUGUCUUCUUCCCGGUAUCUUGCUUACCGGGCGCGGCAACUCCCUUGCCGUCUUUCUUGAAGUUCUUCUUACCCUUGCCUUUCUUGAACUUAGUGGUUUUAUUCACCAUCAACACUUGAUGUUCCUUUUUGAUCUCUACCUCCGCUGAUUUCAGCAUUGAAUAUACCUCGGGAAUGGUCUUUUCCAUCCCCUGCAUAUUGAAGUUCAUCACAAAGCUCUUGUAGCUAGGUGGGAGCGACUGAAGGAUUCUGUCAACGACCGCAUCAUCUGGGAGAUUAACUCCCAGCUGAGACAAGCGGUUGUGCAACCCAGACAUUUUGAGUAUGUGUUCGCUGACGGAACUAUUCUCCUCCAUCUUACAACUGUAGAACUUGUCGGAGACUUCAUAUCUCUCGACCCGGGCAUGAGCUUGCCAUUUUCAGCUCUUGGAACAUCUCAUAUGCUCCGUGCUGCUCGAAACGCUUUUGGAGCCCCGGUUCUAAGCUGUAAAGCAUGCCGCACUGAACCAGGGAGUAAUCAUCAACACGUGUUUGCCAAGCAUUAAUAACGUCUAGGUUUGCUGGGACGGGUGCUUCACCUAGCAGUGCUUCAAGGACAUAUACUUUCUUGGCAGCUAUGAGGAUGAUCCUCAAGUUCCGGACCCAGUCCGUAUAGUUGCUACCAUCGUCUUUCAGCUUGGUUUUCUCUAGGAACGCGUUGAAGUUGAGGUUGACAUUAGCGUGGGCCAUUUUAUCUACAAGACAUAUUGUAAAGAUUUUAGACUAAGUUCAUGAUAAUUAAGUUCAUCUAAUCAAAUUAUUAAUGAACUCCCACUUAGACAGACAUCCCUCUAGUCAUCUAAGUGAUACAUGAUCCGAGUCAACUAGGCCGUGUCCAAUCAUCACGUGAGACGGACUAGUCAUCAUCGGUGAACAUCCUCAUGUUGAUCGUAUCUUCUAUACGACUCAUGUUCGACCUUUCGGUCUUCCGUGUUCCGAGGCCAUGUCUGUACAUGCUAGGCUCGUCAAGUCAACCUAAGUGUAUUGCUUGUAUAAAUCUGGCUUACACCCGUUGUAUGCGAAACAUUAGGACCUAUCACACCCGAUCAUCACGUGGUGCUUCGGAACAACGGGCUUUAGCAACGGUGCACAGUUAGGGGGAACACAAUUCUUGAAAUUUUAGUGAGAGAUCAUCUUAUUUAAGCUACCGUCGUUCUAAGCAAAUAAGAUGUUAAACAUGAUAAACAUCACAUGCAAUCAAAUAGUGACAUGAUAUGGCCAAUAUUAUUUGCUCCUUUUGAUCUCCAUCUUCGGGGCACUCUGUUCAUCAUUGUCACCGGCUUGACACCGUGAUCUCCAUCAUCGUGUCUUCAUGAAGUUGCCUCGCCAACUAUUACUUCUACUACUAUAGCUACCAGUUAGCAAUAAAGUAAAGUAAUUACAUGACGUUUCAGUUGACACGCAGGUCAUGAAUAAACUAAGACAACUCCUAUGGCUCCUGCCGGUUGUCAUACUCAUCGACAUGCAAGUCGUGAUUCCUAUUACAAGAACAUGAUCAAUCUCAUACAUCACAUAUAUCAUUCAUCACAUCCUUCUGGCCAUAUCACAUCACAUGACACUUGCUGCAAAAACAAGUUAGACGUCCUCUAAUUGUUGUUGCAAAUUUUACGUGGCUGCUAUAGGUUUCUAGCAAGAACGUUUCUUACCUACGCCAAAACCACAACGUGAUAUGCCAAUUUCUAUUUACCCUUCAUAAGGACCCUUUUCAUCGAAUCUGAUCUGACUAAAGUGAGAGAGACAGACACCCGCUAGCCACCUUAUGCAUCUAGUGCAUGUCAGUCGGUGGAACCUGUCUCACGUAAGCGUACGUGUAAGGUCGGUCCGGGCCGCUUCAUCCCACGAUGCCGCCGAAUCAAGAUAAGACUAGUAGCGGCAAGUAAAUUGACAAAAUCGACGCCCACAACAACUUGUGUUCUACUCGUGCAUAGAAACUACGCAUAAACCUAGCUCAUGAUGCCACUGUUGGGGAACGUAGCAAUAAUUCAAAAUUUUCUACGCAUCACCAAGAUCAAUCUAUGGAGUUUACUAGCAACAAGAGGGAGGAGUGCAUCUACAUACCCUUGUAGAUCGUGAGCGGAAGCGUUCAAGAGAACGGGGUUGAUGGAGUCGUACUUGUCGUGAUCCAAAUCACCGAUGAUCCAAGCGCCGAACGGACGGCACCUCCGCGUUCAACACACGUACGGAACGGUGACGUCUCCCACGCCUUGAUCCAGCAAGGAGGAGGGAGAGGUUGAGGAAGAAGGCUCUAACAGCAGCACAACGACGUGGUGGUGGUGGAGUGACAGUUCUCCGGCAGGGCUUCGCCAAGCUCGCGCGGAGGAGGAGAGGUGUUGGGGAGCGGAGGGGAGGGGCUGUGCCUUGGAUGUCGUGUGGCUGCCCUCCCCUCACCCCUCUAUUUAUAGGGAGAAGGGGGAAGGGGGCCGGCCCCUCUAGAUGGGAUCUAGAGGGGGGGGGGGCGGCCAAGGGGGAGGUGGCUUGUCCCCCAAGCAAGGGGGGCGCCCCCCUUUAGGGUUCCCCCAAACCCUAGGCGCAUGGGCCCUAGGGGGUUUGGCGCCCCAGCCCACUUAGGGGCUGGUUCCCUUCCACCUACAGCCCAUAAGGCCCUCCGGGGCAGGUGGACCCUCCCGGUGGACCCCCGGAACCCCUUCGGUGGCCCCGGUACAAUACCGGCAUACCCCCGAACACUUCCGGUGACCGUAUGGUGACUUCCCAUAUAUAAAUCUUUACCUCCGGACCAUUCCGGAACUCCUCGUGACAUCCGGGAUCUCAUCCGGGACUCCGAACAACAUUCGGUAAUCACAUACAUACCUUCCUUAUAACCCUAGCGUCAUCGAACCUUAAGUGUGUUAGACCCUACGGGUUCGGGAAUCAUGCAGACAUGACCGAGACACCUCUCUAGCCAAUAACCAACAGCGGCAUCUGGAUACCCAUGUUGGCUCCCACAUGUUCCACGAUGAUCUCAUCGGAUGAACCACGAUGUCAAGGAUUCAAGCAAUCCCGUAUACAAUUCCCUUUGUCAAUCGGUACAUUACUUGCCCGAGAUUCGAUCGUCGGUAUCCCAAUACCUCGUUCAAUCUCGUUACCGGCAAGUCACUUUACUCGUUCUGUAAUGCAUGAUCCCGUGACUAACUACUUAGUCACAUUGAGCUCAUUAUGAUGAUGCAAUACCGAGUGGGCCCAGAGAUACCUCUCCGUCAUAUGGAGUGACAAAUCCCAGUCUCGAUCCGUGCCAACCCAACAGACACUUUCGGAGAUACCUGUAGUGCACCUUUAUAGUCACCCAGUUACGUUGUGACGUUUGGUACACCGAAAGCAUUCCUACGAUGUCCGGGAUUUGCACGAUCUCAUGGUCUAAGGAAAUGAUACUUGACAUUAAAAAAGCUUCAGCAAAUGAACUACACGAUCUAGUGCUAUGCUUAGGAUUGGGUCUUGUCCAUCACAUCAUUCUCCUAAUGAUGUGAUCCCGUUAUCAAUGACAUCCAAUGUCCAUGGUCAGGAAACCGUAACCAUCUAUUGAUCAACGAGCUAGUCAACUAGAGGCUCACUAGGGACAUGUUAUGGUCUAUGUAUUCACACAUGUAUUACGAUUUUUGGAUAACACAAUUAUAGCAUGAAUAACAGCAAUUAUCAUGAACAAGGAAAUAUAAUAAUAACCAUUUUAUUAUUGCCUCUAGGGCAUAUUUCCAACAGAUUAACAUAGUAGCAGUAUGCUUGUUGUGCUAACUCUUUCGAAUUGUCUUGUCUAAAUAUAUGAACAAUUUUAAAGCAACCCAAGGAAAAUUUUGCAUCUAGACAUACUCCAAGAUAAACUAUAAGUGAUUCGUCAAAACAUUGAUAACGCUUGGAUAUUUGUUGCACUACUCAUAACGAAUCAUAAAAAGCCUCAAUAUGUAUAGCACCUAUAGCAAGUAAAAGAUUCAAUCCGAAUAACAACGCAUAUUCGUCUUUGAUUAAUUGUGCAAAAAAACAUUCUAAGCGGCAUGAGGCUUCAAAAAUAGUACCAUAAGGAGAUAUAUAGACAACACCAACACUUUGGACAUUGCUACAAAUUGAACCAUCAAAACAUAAUCUCCAUAGUACUAGAGAGACAAGGCCAAUAUUAAUAUUAUGCAUGUCAUUAAUCCGAUGUUCAGUAAUAAAACCAGCUAUGAUUUGGCCUCUUAUAUAUCUCUAAGAUGCAUAAGGCAAAUCAUAUCCAAACAAAGUAUAAGCCCACUAGCCAAUUCUGCAACUAUGAAUUGGUCUAUGCAGCAUACAUUGAAUGACAUUGGUCAUGAUGUCUCAACUCCAUUCAAUCAUAAUAUAGGCAUACAUAUAAAUUUACAUGAACACGUACCUUAUCUUGCUCUCCAAUCGAACUAAGGAUGAUGUUAGAAUACUACACCGGCCAUGCUUUAACAUACUCUUAGGACGAUAGAUAAAUAUUGGCCAUUACCAUGUAAACUUCAUUCAUAGCACAUAUAGCCAAAAUAAAAAAAUAAAAUGACAAAUCAAGUAUUUCGGCCCUUUGGAUAAACAACAAACUUGUAGAUAAUCAAAUGUAUAGUGAUUUGGUAAUACCCUUUCAUGAUGUAAGAAAUUAUAUUGCAACCAUGGAUCAUUAUAAGCCCAUUGAGGGUAACCAAUCAUACCUGAUGACGAAUUCCAUUGAAUAAGCAAUAAUGGCAAAGUUGAAGAAUAUGGAUAAUGUGUGGACCGAAGAUAUUGAAAUCUUCAGCUUGGUCUCAUAGUUUUCACUAUUUUCCUUCUUCACCUUUGCCGCACCUCUUGUAAUGGAAGCUUGCACAUAAUUCUUAUUUUGAGUACUUCCUUUGGGAACCCAUGUCAUGUUUCUCUUUUCAAGCUCUUGUGCACUAAGUUUUUGUAAUUGCUUCUUUUCACUACAAAAAAAUACACUUCUAUGAUGAUACGUGUUUGUCACAGUAGGUCACGUUUUCUGUCAUGCAUGUACAUCCAUGACAAAUUUAUGACAGAAUGAAGAUAGUCAUACCUGUGCUGUCGUAGAAGUGUUCCAUGACAUUACCAAAAUUAUCAUCACAGAAGUGUCCACUUCCAUGACGAUAAAUUGCGUGUCACAGAAGUGCUUUCGUCAAGGGUGACCGACACGUGGCAUCCACCGUAACGGAACGCCGUUAAGCUAUCGGGUCCGGUUUUGGAUCCGAUAACCCGUUAACAGCCCGGACCAAUGGGGAUUUUCCACGUGUAAAAUUCUGAUUGGCUGAUGGAAACACAUGUCAGCUCCGCGUUGGCACAGGUGUCACUCAUCCAAUGGGCGAGAUGCGCCUAUGAUAUGUUGACACGUGGACCGGCCCAAAAGUGGCCCAUAAAGUUUAAAUGGGCCGCCCAACUAAAGGCCCGCAAGAUUUUGCAGACCAUAAUGGGCCGGCCCAGCUAAAGGCCCACGAGAUUUUGUGGACCAUAAUGGGCUGGCCCAGCUAAAGGCCCACAAGAUUUUUGUGGGCCAUAAUGGGCCGGCCCAGGUGAAGGCCCACAAGAUUUUUGUGGACCAUAAUGGGCCGGCCUAGCUAAAGGCCCACGAGAUUUCGCCGACAUUAAUGGGCCGGCCCAGCUAUAGGCCCACAAGAUUUUGGGGACCCUAGUAGGCCGGCCCAUUAACUGGCUGCCAUGUUUUGGGCCAAAUGCCGGCCCAUAUUUGAUCCGGUCCAUUAAUGGCCUGCCACAUUCCGGGCCUAACAAUGGCCCAUAUGAGAUCCUGUCCGUUAAAAGCCUACCACGUUCUGGGCCAAAUUACGGCCCAGAUCAGGUCCGGCCCUUUAAGAGGCUUUGGGCUAAAUUAUGGCCCAUAUCAGAUUCGGCCCGUCAACUGGACGCUAUGCUUUUGGGCCCACUUGCUAAAGGCCCAUUUAGUAAUUCAGCCUGAUAGUAGUUUCGGCCUGUUAAGGGCCCGUUUAACAUUUCGGCCCUAUAUUAAUUUUGGCCUGUUAAAAGCCCGUCAUAUAGUUGGGCCUAACUACGGCCCGGUUUGCAUCCGGCCUGCUUGCAGCCGAUAAUCUAAUUGGGCCAAACAAGGACCGAGACAAUUUUGGCCUGUUAAAAGCCCGUGAUUUGAUUGGCACAAUCAUGGGCCGGGGUCCAUUUCGGGCUUCUGCCGGCCCGUGAGCUGUUCGGCACGUUUCAGGCCCAACCUACUUCUUAGCCUCCUAAAAGCCCAUUGAGUUUUCUUGCGAAAAGAUGGCCGGCGGUUUACUCGGCCUAUUAAAGGCCCAACUCUACUAGUGGGCCAGUUUACAUUUAGGCCUUCUAACGGACCAAGACGGAUCAUACAUCGUGAUUGCAUGACGGCCCGAUUAUGUACCGUAAUUUUACGGUUUGGACGGUUUACUGCGAAGACAGGAUAUAUAUACAGUAAAAUAACUGCAUCAUCGUGAAUAAGAAAGAACCUAGACUAUACAAUAAAGAAAUUACGGCAUAUUACAUCCACUGGGCAUCAAAGUUCGCCACUAUGAUAAUAAAGCAUAAGAAGACAGCGGAUUACAUACACGGGGCAUCAAAGAUCGCCACCGGUGCAACUAAACACGCCGACAAAAUAAUAUACAAAAUCGACAACACUUCAAUAGAGUUCAAGAAAGGUUAGCCCUGCUGGGGAGCUGCAGCGUGAGUAGCUGAGCAAGCUGAUGAGACUGCACUUGUUUAACACUUAUAUCCUCCUUACUCUAAAAGAUAAACAAGCAGACAGAUGACAGGUUUUGCACAUAAAAGUAUCAGUGCUGACAAUUCAUCACAUUUCCUACUGACGAAUAAAGUGACACAGUUUAAAAUUGCAUUAACACAAUAUGGUAUUGUUCAGGUCAAGACAUGGCAGGAAAUGACAUUGUGAAGGAGUUGGCAGCUUCACGACACCACUCGAUUACAGAUCAAGAACUCAUAAGUAUCACUGGUUAGUGUGCUGUCAAUUUAUCCCAUUUCAGAUUGGCAAAUAAAGAGACGGUUUAAAUUAUAGUAGAAUGAUAUGACAUUGUUCAUAGUUAAGACACUGCAGAAUAUGACAUUGUGCUGUAGUGGGUAGGUUCACCACACCACUGGAUUACGGAUCAAGAACAGAAGCAUACAUGCAGUGCAAAAGAAGAUCACUUGCUCUGUAUAGUUUAAUUUACAUGGUAUGAAGAAGGAACUUGGUUGUACAACUAAAAACUUAUAUUGAGAAGGACAAACUUUUGUUUAUGAACUACAUAAUAAACUUUAAACAUGCAAUUUAAUGCAAACACCAAAAAUAAACAGUUGUUGCAGUCAUGCCUAACCAAAUAUACACAACAAAGUUUGAAGGCUUGAGAAGGACAAACUUACAUUAUUGGUGAAGGCAGGCUCUAUAAAGCCCUUGUCAAUGCUGAUGGGGGGGGGGCAAUUCAAGAAGUUUACCACAGAAUCUUCUUCAUAAGCAUUGCCUUUAUUCUACAUUUUGUUAAGAGUAAAUAUAGAUGUGACAAUAUAAGAAAAAAUGGAGAAUAUUUAUGAUAAGAUGAAGAGUGAUGCUACAUAACCAAGUAGCUAUAAACGUAAGUACAGCGAUACAGGCAAAAGGUACAACCAAGAGCAAUGCAGAGCUAAACUUCUUUAGUACCAUCGGUGUUAUCCAACCUUAUGGUAAGAGUAAAUAUAGCUCUUAUGUGUAGAAAAUGGAGGGCAAAGGAAAAUAAGCUGCAGAGUGAUGGUAAAUGAACAACUACCUGUCAAUAUAAGUACACUGAUAAAGGACAUCAGGUACUUACAAGAAGAAUGCAGAGCUAAAAAAUUUCAUUGGCAUUGGAUAUAUUCUACACUAAUGUAACCAUUCAUACAGAUCAGAUAAUUUGGAGCGAACAAUUGAUAAGCAAGCUAUCAUGCAUACUGCUGUCACAUAAUAAACCAGGUAUGUAUGCAAGUACAGUGAUACAGGACAACAGGUACUAAGAAGAGCAAAGCAGCGGGCAGCAUAUUUGCGAUAUCCUGUCGUUCUUUUCAAACCGGAAUUCUUUUUCGAGCAGAUUUCCUGCAAAAAAGAUCCGUAAGGCACAUGCGGAAAAGUAGAAGUUCAAAUUGUCAUGCGAUAUCAUAGACAGUACCUCAUCCUCAGAACGAGACCAGUGCAUAACAAGGUUUUUCCAUUCAAUGUCUUCUAAAUUUAGCACAGGAGACUUCACCAGAAAUUCGUUUAUAGACUUGCCAUCAAAGUGUGAUUUCCUCAGGUAACACCAAUACUGCUGCAAUGCUUCCUUGAAAAGCGCAAGCAAGCUUUGCUCGUCAUGACUAUCCAGAUUGACCCUCGCCUACUUACAACAAUGUAAUGUAAAUCAUUGAUGUGUUCAAUCAGCAGAAAACAAGAAAAUAAUCACCAUGAAUAAUAGCACUUACACGUAAGUGGGACAGGAAGAUGUGAAAAUGGUGUUUGUCUUCACUAUAAUCUUCCCAUGAUGGGAAUAUAUGCACGUAGUCCCUAACAACAUUGAAAGCAUUGUCUUUUAAACUAGGAAUAACUAGAAUGGGGUUCCAAUCUGCAGGAAUUGGCCGUCUCUGCAGUUGGGAUAGGUCUUCGACCGGUGGACUUGCGGCACUUUUUGCUGGAGUGGGAUUUUUCUGUGGUACGGCUGGUGCUAUGGCAACUGAAAUCAGCAUACCUUUUGCUGGAGUGCAGGUCCUGUGUGGUGCGGCUAGUGGUGUGGCCAGUGAAGUAUGGGUACAAUCUGCUGGAGUCGGUCCUACGUUUUGUGUCACUGGUUGUACAGCCAAUAUAAGUGGGGUGCUGUCUGAUUUCUCCGGCACAACCACGUUUUUCAAGGACUUUGCUGGUGCUCCUUCAGGUUCGGCAAUCACCCUCUUCCUUUUUGAUGUCUGAUGCACAAGAACAUCAUUUGAGUGAAAAACAUGGUAUGAUGACAGAUGGAAUAUGUAUUGAUAAUGGAUGGGCAUGGCAUCUCGACAUAUAUGAUGAGUAAACUAAGUAGAUGGGGGUGCAACAAAGUAGAAGAAAUGCAAGACAACAUAUGCAAUAUACGCGUAGUCAAUAAAACCUUGCCAAAUUAGAACAGGCACCUUGAUGGGUGAACAGGACAGGCCAUCUGCCUUUGACUCCUCGAGGUUAGAAUAGUCAUUAGGAUCAUAUUCUGAACAAGAAUCAACAGGUGGGGAGCGUAUGAGUUUCAUUGCAUCCAGAAUGGCACUCAAUGCCUUGGUGCCAAUUUUGUAAGUCAUUGCGGUGUUUAGCUUCAAGAGUGGACUGUUGCUAGUGCGACACAAAGCAGCUACACAGAUCAUAGUGUAGAUAUAACGGGAAAACCGUAAGCAUCAGAGUAAAAUCAGCAAAGUGGAACUUGCUGGAAUAUAUGUGCUAGUAUUGCCGGUACGGCUAGAAAGGCUUCGGAUACCAGCUCUCUUCAACUGAAGGUGCGGUACUGUUAAUAUCAGUGUAACUCUCAAAGGCGACACAGCUCCCCACAUUUCCUUGCUGUUCUUAUAGGAUUCAAGUGGGCAGGCCACUACAAAUCCUAUUCCCAUGUUUACAAAAUCCUACGAAUCAAAGAGGCCCGAAGAGUUCAAAUGUCCAUACCAACCGACCGUAUAGACCUCUACACUGCAAAUGUCCCUGCUCAUCUUCACUACAAGGAACAUACUGUACUACUAUCAUACUCCCUCCAUUCCAAAAUAUAAGUCUUGGUAGAGAUUUCCACUAUGGAUCACUUAUAGAUGUAUCCAGAUACAUUUUAGAGUGUAGAUUCACUCAUUUUGCUCCAUAUGUAGUCCAUGGUGGAAUCUAUACAAAGACUUGUAUUUAGAAACGGAGAGAGUACUUAUUAAAGAAGAACGGAAGAGGAACAUGCUAAAGAAGAGCAAGCAGAUUUUGGAUAAUAAAAUGUUCGUUGUGCAGUGCCCACACAUGAUGAACCAGAGCGCAUUAAGAAAGCAACUCCCCGCUGUCUCUCUAUAUGUGGUGCACGUGCUUUUUCGAAAGUAAAGUAGGAACAUUAGCUGACCAAUUAAAUGUUAUCUGUUUUAGUAAUAUCAACAUCAUAUCAGAUUCGUACUUGAGCAACAAGUUUGGAAUUAUGAGUGGCACGUUGUUUAGCUUGAUGGAUUCAGGAGCAGUGCUAAGCAGGUACAAUGAUGGUACUGAAUAUAAAGGCAUGUCUGCAUGCAAGUCGCGUGACUUUGUCAUUUGGGUCAGUCGACCAUUUCAGGCGGUUGGAUGAAGAUCCUACGUCUCCUAACCCUUCUUCUUCCUCGUCUCUGAUUCUUCCCAUACAGAACACCGCACGGGCCACCGGCCCCACCGCCUGUGUUCCUCCGCCACCCCCACCCCACCCCACCCCAACCCACGUCGAGUUUUCUUCGUUCGGCGAGGCCCCACCACCGCCCUCCCCCCACAACCAAAAUCCCCACCCGAGCCCCUUCGUUUGCACCGGCGAACUCCAGCGAGCUCUGAAAAAUCGACUGACCCAAUUUUGAAAUUUAGUCUACUGUGAUUUAACUAGUGUGGAAUAUAAAAGGGGAAAACCAUAAGCAUUGGGAGUAUAGUGUUGAGCGUGCCAUGGCGGAUCUAAAGGUGCAAACCGGACAAAGGCAACUUCGCAACCAAUGUUUGCUCUCAACUAGCAAGUAAGUGAUGGACAAGAAAUCAGAGUAAAGCAGUGGCGAUCUAUUUUCUUGCUGCGAUAAAUAAGUUGAGCAUAUACGAAAGAGUACCGCCUCUGGUGCGGCGCCGUGUAUGCAUUUGCUGAGAAUUUGAGGGUGCUGCGGUAGCGAUGGCUGUCGGCGGCGUGGAAGCAGAUCUAGGAGGGUAGAUGGUGGCGGCGGGGCGUGGUGGACGAGACGGUCAUAGGAGCGACGCCGGCAAGGUGGACGACGGCGGGGAUGAAGCGAGAGGACGGGAUGCAAGGAUCCCGGUCCGAAGCCGUGGAUGAGAGAGGUCGAUCUCUUGUAAUGGACGGCGGCAUCAGGGUAUCAGCUCCGGCAUGGUGGACGAGGACGGCGAUGGAUGGGGUGGCGGAAGGAGGAGGCUGGGGUGGAGAGGGUGUUUUGGCGCCCACGGAGUACGAAUGGGGAAAUGGAGGUGGAGAGGAAGGGGGGAACCAUGUCUUCAGGGCGCGCUUAUCUCAAAUGCGAGGAAAUUUACAAACUUAGCCCUCGUUUCAAAUUUCCUACAUCACAGCAAUAUUGGUCGGUUGGGGAUAGGACGGUAAUCUCGCAUACACCGAAUAUUUGCCGACGAGAGUUUGUUUUUGGCGCCCACCGUGUAUGAAUCAGGGAGGGAGUCGAUUUCGGCCGAGGACACACGGUGUUUUGGCGCCCACCGUGUAUGAAUCCGGGUGAGAGGCGGUUAUGUCAUGUUUGAGUGAAAUUACAAAACUACCCCUAUCGAAACCUAUAGAAAUCGAGCAGAUAGGCUUUGCAUGGCAGGGAUAGGCAGUAGUAAUUUCCAUCUCGCAGAUUUUGGUUUCGGGCGGUUACUGCGACUUUCCCCGCUUCGUUCAAAUUUUGCAGAGUGCACGUUUACCAUGCCAACUCAAUUCGAAUCCCGUUUGUAUUCUAUUUUUUUCGGGCGGGAUCCAUUUUCGAUUGGAAUAAAAUUCUAUAUACAUCAUUUUUUAUAUAUACUUUCAAAAGCACAACAAAGAAUUCUGCUCCUAUAUAUGUAUAAUAUGAUUUACAAAUACAAUGAUCUCAAAAUCAUAAGGUUGAAUUCAAAAAAUUAAACCAAAUUAUGUUCUACUAAAAUGUAUGGAUCAGUAAUAUCUACAUAUUAAAUAACAUAGAUGCGCGUGAAUUCAUAGGAGUAUGCAUGUUUGAUAGAUCAAUUUUGGUUCGAGUAUGGAUUACAUGUAUCAUAAUCUCGAAUUCAAAUAUUUGAAUCCCUUUUAUGUUCACUCCUUUCAUUCCCAUCUCUCUCGCAUGCAUGCUCCUUCAUGUAGCUAUCACUCUCUUUUCUCCAGCUCACCCACACGCUCACUUCAUGUUUAUCCUAUCCUCGCAAACAUGGUCUCUCGACGUCUCCCUUGAGAAGUGUCACACUCUCCCUAUCAUUAUACAUUACACGGUUUUCAUUAUCUCUCACGUCUCUACCGUUCUCUCGUAUCACUAGGUACCUAAGCUUUCUUUUUCACCUCCACACACACAGUCUCCACUCGUCUUUCACUUUGCCUUUCUCUCUAUGGGAUUCUCUCACACACCCUGCUAUAUGUCUCUAGAUAUGAAUCAUACCACUAAAAUUACUCUCUCUCUCUCUCUCUCUCUCCUGUAGACACAACAUUUGUUGCGGUCUCCUUUUCGUCUCCAUCCCAGACUGACAUUAUUCAUUUGUUUACCGAUCAGACAAACUCCCUCCCCCCCCUCUCUCUCUCUCUCACACACACACAACUCCUGCUUCCACUCCCCUUCCCGACUACCGUCUCUCUCACACACACAAAAAACUCUCGCUUUCGCACCCCCGACUCGUAUUUCUCUCACAAACAUUUAUCGACUAGCCUCUAGAUAGGUUUAUACACCCGCACAUACGUGCUUCCACUAUCGCAUACAUGUCUCUCUCCCGCUCCUUGUAUCUAUGUAGAUUUUUCUUCCCUUCUUGAGACAUGCCCUCUCGAUCGUGCACACACACUAUCGCCUCAUUUUAAGCUGAUACCUCUCGCACACACACUCUUUGUGUCUUUGUCACACAUGCACUCCGUCCUCCUCCUCUCUCCCUCUCUCUCUCACACACAUGGGCUUUUUGCAACAACUAGCAAGAUGCCCAUGCGUUGCACGGAACAUCAAGAUGCAUUUUUAUGAGUAGUUUAUCUUGUGGGAGAAAAAGAUGAACAAGGGAAGGCCUUAUUUGCAAGUGUGGAGAGGGGUGUGGGUAUAUUUUUGCAAAAUUGCCAUAGUUUCCUUCUUAUCCGUCAGAUAUAGAUCGGACGGCCUAUAUUGCAGGAUGGCAGGCACAUGAUCAUCACCGACUAUGCUUUUUAUAAGAGCAGGGAUAAAAAUAGAGUUGGUGAUGAUGGUGGGCUUGCCAUCCUGCAAUAUAGGCCAUAUGAUUUAUAUCUGACGGAUAGGAACGAAACUAUGGCAAUUUACCCGCACUCUUCUCCACAUUUGCAGAUAAGGCCUUCCCUCGUUCAUCCUUUUCUCCCACAAGAUCUUGAUGUUCCGUGCAACACGGGCAUCUUGCUAGUAAGAGUAGAAAUUAGACAUAUACCACUUCUCGAAUCUUGAAACCAACAACAUUCCUCCCUUAUCUCAUCAAAACCGCCAAAGGAAUAUAUUUUGAGUGAAACAUAACAAUUUUUUAGUGAUAUACGUAUUUCAAAACUAGACUUUUUUCUAUCAAAUCGGUGAAUAUGUAUUAAUCUACUCAGAUCGUGUGGCAACGCAUUGGCACAUUGCUAGUAGUUAUUAUAAUUUUUUGGACACCAGACAAACGGUGGAGUACAUAUACAAAGAGAAGGGGCGCACGCACGCAGUCGGUCUCUCGCUGUCUCGCACACACGAGUGUUACGUAAAGGCAACGUUAACAAAUAAACCCUAAAACCCUAGGUGCACGAUUGCUGCAUUCGCGGGUACCGGGUAUGUGGUGGAGCGCACCUUUGUAGGAAUAGUCAGCUCGCGUGAUAAUUUGAUCCGUAGGAGUUGAUGGUCGGGACCACAGGUGAACGACUUUGAGGCGGUGGCUCGCCAGUUGCCACAGAUCAAGUAGCCACAUUUAAAAUAUCAUUUUUUAGCGGGGUUAAGAGUUCCGAUUUUCAAUGGCGCGUUAUAAGUACUAAGUAGUUUUUAGAACAAUUGGUAUGGAGCGAAAAUGGAAUUCAUAGUACUACGUACCUCCUUGGCGUAUGGUUGUAUGGGUUUAUGUUGCGAGAUGUUGAACCUGGUAGUUCUAGGGCAAAUACUAUGUUUAGAUUUAGAUGUUGGUUUUUAGUAAAGAAAAUCGGAAGGGGAAACCCUUCUUUGAUUAAAAAAAACUACUACCUCCGUUCUGGUUUACUAGUCCCCAUCCUAUUUUGGGUCAAAGUUUGUCCAUGAAUUUUACUUGUAAAAUGUGAAUGGAAAACGAGAUUUUGUUAUACGAAAACAAAAAAGGACUGGAGGGAGUGAUUGCUCUGACAUGGACGCGACCUCUCAUAGCGCAGGCAUUGAACCGGCGCGCCAGCCAAGAGGGCCCCACUCGCUGCAGGCCCGACUGAACAUGCCUCCUCGCCGCAUGCAACCUGCUUCAGACCGCCCCGCCUGCCUUCAUUGAAUCAGCGCGUGUGCUGGCAACACGUCCUUCUGCGAGCCGUCCGGCAUUUUAGAACACAAAAAAUGACCAAAAUAUAAUUAAUUACGCAUGGUCUUGACUUGUUGUGCUCGCACUGGUAGCAGGAACUAGAGGUUUUUCUUUAUUGAUAACUCUCCUCAAUUUUUUUUGGCUUUGAAGUGAAUCAUGGUUGUGGACAUUAUGUAUGAAUGUGGAGAUAUCUGUGAACAUGAGUUUGAUGUGGAAGUUGAACUUGGAAUGUUGGGCUUGCGCGUGAACUAUACCAUGUCCAAUGCUUCGUGUGUUAUUGUUUGGAAAAUAAUUGCUGUUAUUAGAUGACCCGAAAAAAAUAUUUUGUGCCACAUCAGUAGAUGCACGGACAUCACAACAGGCAUGCUGACUGGAUAAACAUUUGAACCUAGCUACUAUGAAGGAAAUUUUGUAUUGACAACAGUUUUAGAUAGCAGGAGACGCCUAGCCUGCUCUGCCUCUGCUAGCUUAUUUCUGGCUUCUUCCAUCUCUUCUUUGGCAUGGGUGAAGAGAGCAUCUGAUUGCUCUUUUCGCUUCUUCAGGAACUCAGCUACAUUCUCAAGGGCUGCUGCACGCUUUCUUUCAGCCUUUACUAGAGCCACGAGGACACGAACAGCUAGCGACUCCACCUGGCUUGUGUGUAAUCCAGCAUCAUCUGGGAAUUUGCACCUUGUGUCUAAUCCAGCAUCAUUAGGGAACUGGCACCUUGUGUGUAAUCCAGCCUCAUUCUGGAAACAUGAUCUCGAGGUUGACCAUACUUCCCUCCUCGUAGGAACUGCAUCCUGACAUGAAGUUACUUCUUUUUUAGAUAAUUACUCAGAGCAACCCAGAUCCAUUUAGUAGAAGCCAGAUAAACAGAACUGGGAGAAGUGAAUUCAAAAGGAAAAAAAUAUAUAAAAACAGACUACAAGGUGAGAACACCCACUUCCUACAUCAAGCUAAAAACGAAAGCAUUAGGACGAUUAAGACUCUUCUUAUGACACAUCGAAGAACACGAGGCUUAAGAGAAACAGAAACUACAACAUAUACACAUCAAAGAACACGAGGCUAAACGAAAGUAAUUGAAAGGGUGUUACUUACCAAAGUUCGUUUUACAGGUUCGGUGCAGCUCCUCUUUAACUUGCCACGCUCCUUGAAGAUGUCCCCAAUAUCCUAUGUUUGGUCUUCAUUGCUCCUCUGCAUGUUCGCACUCGUGGUUUUAAAAUCUCAACAUGGCAAGAAAAAUAUACUACUAGUAAUACUCGUGCAUCUUGUGGGCAACAUUAAAGCACUCGUCUGCCAUGUUAGAGCAUCUCCAACAGAAUCGCAACGCGCGGCGCUUUAAAAAAGCGUUUACAGUGCUGCGAUCGAGAAGUCGAGAUAGAGAGUAGAUGAUAGUUCUCAGCAUAGAUAGAUAAAAAAAA
rnacentral:lncRNA from 1 species